UGCUCCGGUGUCGUCGACACCUGAAAGACAAAGAAUCUCGGGGGAAAGCACCCCACCAAACCCCACCCAUCCCGCCCGUGGUCGCGCUCACUCGGGCGGGUGAACAUAUCCGGUUCGGCUGGAUUUCCGGGCCGCCCAGGCCCGACGCUCAGCGCAACGCACCACCGCAACCACAGACAUGAGACGGCCCCCGCCGGGAGUGCAAUCCCAAUGCGAGGGCCUGACCACCAAGGAAGCUGGAACCUUCCCG
rnacentral:ncRNA from 1 species